AUUGAACGCUGGCGGCAGGCCUAACACAUGCAAGUCGAGCGGAUGAAGGGAGCUUGCUCCUGGAUUCAGCGGCGGACGGGUGAGUAAUGCCUAGGAAUCUGCCUGGUAGUGGGGGAUAACGUCCGGAAACGGGCGCUAAUACCGCAUACGUCCUGAGGGAGAAAGUGGGGGAUCUUCGAACCUCACGCUAUCAGAUGAGCCUAGGUCGGAUUAGCUAGUUGGUGGGGUAAAGGCCUACCAAGGCGACGAUCCGUAACUGGUCCGAGAGGAUGAUCAGUCACACUGGAACUGAGACACGGUCCAGACUCCUACGGGAGGCAGCAGUGGGGAAUAUUGGACAAUGGGCGAAAGCCUGAUCCAGCCAUGCCGCGUGUGUGAAGAAGGUCUUCGGAUUGUAAAGCACUUUAAGUUGGGAGGAAGGGCAGUAAGUUAAUACCUUGCUGUUUUGACGUUACCAACAGAAUAAGCACCGGCUAACUUCGUG
rnacentral:rRNA from 1 species